UACGUAGGGGGCAAGCGUUGUCCGGAUUUAUUGGGCGUAAAGGGCUCGUAGGCGGUUUGUCGCGUCGGGAGUGAAAACCCAGGGCUUAACCCUGGGCUGGCUUUCGAUACGGGCAGACUAGAGGUAUGCAGGGGAGAACGGAAUUCCUGGUGUAGCGGUGAAAUGCGCAGAUAUCAGGAGGAACACCGGUGGCGAAGGCGGGUCUCUGGGCCGAUACUGACGCUGGAGGAGCGAAAGCGUGGGGAGCGAACAGG
rnacentral:rRNA from 1 species